UACGGGGGGAGCAAGCGUUGUUCGGAUUUACUGGGCGUAAAGGGCGCGUAGGCGGCGUGACAAGUCACUUGUGAAAUCUCCGGGCUUAACCCGGAGCGGCCAAGUGAUACUGUCGUGCUAGAGUGCGGAAGGGGCUACUGGAAUUCUCGGUGUAGCGGUGAAAUGCGUAGAUAUCGAGAGGAACACCUGCGGCGAAGGCGGGUAGCUGGGCCGACACUGACGCUGAGGAGCGAAAGCAUGGGGAGCGAACAGG
rnacentral:rRNA from 1 species